GACGUAGGGCGCGAGCGUUGUCCGGAUUUAUUGGGCGUAAAGAGCUCGUAGGCGGCUUGUCGCGUCGACUGUGAAAACCCGUGGCUCAACCAUGUGGUCUGCAGUCGAUACGGGCAGGCUAGAAUUCGGUAGGGGAGACUGGAAUUCCUGGUGUAGCAGUGAAAUGCGUAGAUAUCAGGAGGAAUACCGAUGGCGAAGGCAGGUCUCUGGGCUGACACUGACGCUCAUGCACGAAAGCGUGGGGAGCAAACAGG
rnacentral:rRNA from 1 species